AUGUCUUCCACCCCUCCCCGUCACAGGCGGCAUGCUUUCUACCUUCAACAUCACUUAAAUGGCAAGUGUCCUCCCAACGUGACGCACCUGUCACCUGUAGACUGCUCUGGCGGCACUUUGAAUGACUUGCACCUGAUUCCAGCAAGCCCCCAACUGUCUCAGGCAAUGGAAGUGGAUGGACUGAAUGACUCCAGCAAACAAGGCUAUUCCCAGGAAACCAAGCGCUUGAAGCGGACCCCACCUCCAGACCCUGUAGGCCUAGAGAUGGAGCACAGGUUUAUUGAUCAAGUGCUAUCCACUUGUCGGAAUGUAGAGCAAGCCAGUUACAAUGUGUAUCCUGGAAGGGAAUAAGAAUAAAUUUUUGUAAAAAG
rnacentral:lncRNA from 1 species